CCUUUUCUGCCAAAGAGUGUUACUCUGGCUGGAGCUGAAACACUGAAGCUACCUCAAUGGAGCAGAGCGGAGCCUACUGGACUAGAGAAGAGGCUGCUCUUUCUUCUGCAAGUUUUCAGAUGGUGAAGGUCAGAACGUGAGCAUCAGAAUUAUUGUUCCCUCCUUUAGGACUUCUGAAACUUUAAGGUCCACCCAUCACUUGGAGAUUUGAUGGUGGCUGAGGUUUCCAGAGGAUGAAGCCACUGGAGCCUGGUUUGAAAAUAAAGAAUUCCCAAAUGACAGUAUUGUAAGAUGUAAGAUGUCUGGAUUCCUGAGUCACUGCUGGAGGAGAGCACAAAAAAGAACUGCAAGACCCACCUGUGACUGAGCCAUGAAAAGUUGAAUUAAUGAAUGAACAUUACCAACUCUACAGCAAAAGGAACAUAAAUUGGGUAAUGUGUGAAAGCAACCUGAACUCCUUGGACGUCAGGGGUGCCAGACCCAAGAUCAGGAGCCUAGGUGGCUGCUGCUGGAAGGACACCUCUACAUCAAAUGCUUGCUAAGGGUCUGAGCAAAGAUUCUGUCUGACUACAGGAAAGAGCAUGUUCCUGAUCAAGAAGAAGUAGGUUCCACUGCACUUCUGCAGGAGUCAAGGAAGAGAAGCCUGGAAUUCUGGGUAGGCCUUCCCAGAGCUGCUCAGAUGUGUCAGGUACAGAGGGAAACCAGCCUGGUCCGUUACUAGGUGGGGCAUGGGAAAGGAAACAACCUGGACAAUUAAGUACAGUGUAGGGUUCAAGAAAUAAAUGAGACUCAAUGUCCAAAGUAGGGUAAAGGUUCCAUUUCUUAAGUGAUUGUUAAUUAUUUUCCCAUUAAAAACGUAAGCAUUUCUAUGUCAGGACAUAAAAUAAUGUCUAUCUAUGUGAGCCGAGAUUGUCCCAGACAAGGGAAAGCUCUUGAUAUUGAGCUAAAUUAUGCACCCUGAUUGUGGUAAAAUACAUGAUUACCAUUAGAUUUUAAGAAAUAUUGAAAAUGGUUUACAGGCUCCUAAUAUAAUCUUUGUAGAUUACAAUCUUUGUAGGAGACCGCUAGCUAAGAUUUGGGGGGAUCAUUAGAGAGGAUCAAUCCCAAUUUUUCG